rnacentral:lncRNA from 1 species
AGUGUUGUCUCCGCCUCCACCGGUUUACUUGCCACCACCGCCUCCACCACCAGUUUAUUCACCUCCUCCACCAGUUUAUUCGCCACCACCGCCACCACCUCCACCACCACCGGUUUAUUCACCUCCUCCACCAAUUUAUUCACCACCGCCGCCGCCACCUCCACCACCACCGGUUUAUUCACCUCCUCCACCACCUCCACCACCAGCACCGGUUUAUUCACCUCCACCGGUUUUCUCACCACCGCCACCAUCACCAC